AUAUCAAUAAGCGGAGGAAAAGAAACCAACAGGGAUUGCCUCAGUAACGGCGAGUGAAGCGGCAACAGCUCAAAUUUGAAAUCUGGCUCUUUAGGCCCGAGUUGUAAUUUGUAGAGGAUGCUUCUGGCGUCGCGCUCCGGUCUAAGUUCCUUGGAACAGGACGUCAUAGAGGGUGAGAAUCCCGUAUGUGAUCGGUCGCACUUGCCAUGUGAAGCUCCUUCGACGAGUCGAGUUGUUUGGGAAUGCAGCUCUAAAUGGGAGGUAAAUUUCUUCUAAAGCUAAAUACCGGCCAGAGACCGAUAGCGCACAAGUAGAGUGAUCGAAAGAUGAAAAGCACUUUGGAAAGAGAGUCAAAAAGUCA
rnacentral:rRNA from 1 species